GAAUUAGCGGGGUCCUCUUUGCCGAUCCUCGACAUGUGAUAAGAUGUUUCCAUGUCUUGGUUUUUGGCUCUGUUGCCUUUGGGACCCGCUUCUAACCGUCUCAUCGAGACAACGUUUGAGCUCGUCUCCCUUCUCGGGAAACUCUCUCAGACCCACGAACCCUUGACCUCAAAUCGGGUGAGACUACCCGCUGAACUUAA
rnacentral:misc_RNA from 1 species